rnacentral:sRNA from 1 species
UCUUUUGUUAACCCAUAGUCUCGAUGAAUA